UACGUAGGUGGCGAGCGUUAUCCGGAAUUAUUGGGCGUAAAGGGUGCGUAGGCGGUUUAUUAAGUCUGUGGUGAAAGUGCGGGGCUCAACCCCGUAUGGCCACAGAAACUGAUAGACUAGAGUACAGGAGAGGGCAGUGGAAUUCCAUGUGUAGCGGUAAAAUGCGUAGAUAUAUGGAGGAACACCGGUGGCGAAGGCGGCUGCCUGGCCUGUAACUGACGCUGAGGCACGAAAGCGUGGGGAGCAAAUAGG
rnacentral:rRNA from 1 species